GAUGAACGCUGGCGGCGUGCCUAAUACAUGCAAGUCGAGCGAACAGACGAGGAGCUUGCUCCUCUGACGUUAGCGGCGGACGGGUGAGUAACACGUGGAUAACCUACCUAUAAGACUGGGAUAACUUCGGGAAACCGGAGCUAAUACCGGAUAAUAUAUUGAACCGCAUGGUUCAAUAGUGAAAGACGGUUUUGCUGUCACUUAUAGAUGGAUCCGCGCCGCAUUAGCUAGUUGGUAAGGUAACGGCUUACCAAGGCAAGGAUGCGUAGCCGACUUGAGAGGUAGACGGCCUCGCCUGCACUGGCACUCGGUUCAGACUCCCUCGGGGAGGGGCGGUAAGGGAUUGUUCGGGAUGGGGGUAAGGCUUGCGGAGGACCGGCGUAUAGGUUAAGAAGGUGUUUGGCUCGCAAAACCCUGGUAAUUCGGAAGAACCAAGUUGUAAGGAAACAGGUCCGGCAUGGCGGGUCCAGAUCAGGAAACCGCGGGCUACCCACUUC
rnacentral:rRNA from 1 species